rnacentral:rRNA from 1 species
GACGAACGCUGGCGGCGUGCUUAACACAUGCAAGUCGAACGGAAAGGCCCCUUUGGGGGUACUCGAGUGGCGAACGGGUGAGUAACACGUGAGUAACCUGCCCUUGACUUCGGGAUAACUUCAGGAAACUGGGGCUAAUACCGGAUAGGAAUCCUUGCUGCAUGGUGGGGGUUGGAAAGCUUCGGCGGUUUUGGAUGGACUCGCGGCUUAUCAGCUUGUUGGUGGGGUAGUGUCUUACCAAGGCUUUGACGGGUAGCCGGCCUGAGAGGGCGACCGGCCACAUUGGGACUGAGAUACGGCCCAGACUCCUACGGGAGGCAGCAGUGGGGAAUAUUGCACAAGGGGCGGAAGCCUGAUGCAGCAACGCCGCGUGCGGGAUGACGGCCUUCGGGUUGUAAACCGCUUUCAGCAGGGGCGAAGCUUGUGGUGACGGUACCUGCAGAAGAAGCACCGGCUAACUACGUG